GACGAACGCUGGCGGCGUGCCUAAUACAUGCAAGUAGAACGCUGAAGGAGGAGCUUGCUUCUCUGGAUGAGUUGCGAACGGGUGAGUAACGCGUAGGUAACCUGCCUGGUAGCGGGGGAUAACUUUUGGAAACGAUAGCUAAUACCGCAUAAGAGUAGAUGCUGCAUGACAUUAGUUUAAAAGGUGCAAUUGCAUCACUACCAGAUGGACCUGCGUUGUAUUAGCUAGUUGGUGGGGUAACGCCUCACCAAGGCGAAGAUACAUAGCGGACCGGAGAGGGUGAGCAGCCAGCCUGGGACGGAGACAGGGCCCAGGCUCAUACGGGAGGCAGCAGGAGGGAAUCGUCAGCAAUCGACGGAAGUCUGACCGAGCAACGCCGCGUGAGUGAAGAAGGACUUCGGAUCGUAAAGCUCUGUUUUAAGAGAAGAACGAGUGUGAGAGUGGAAAGUUCACACUGUGACGGUAUCUUAUCAGAAAGGGACGGCUAACUACGUG
rnacentral:rRNA from 1 species